CUGGCCAUUGACACUGGCAGAAUUCUUAGCAUGAAAUUAUUAUUAUUACUUCUGUACCAGCAGAGAUGUGUGUGGCACUCUGAAGAAUCUAUCAAGAUGAAGUCUCUGCUUCUGCAAGCUCACAACCUGCGGUCCUGAUCCCGUAAUUUACUCUGCAUGGUCCUUUCCUCAUGGAAACCUAAGCAGUCAAGAGCAGGACAUUGGGACAGUGACACAGGAAGGGAGAAGGGAGGCGCGGUGCCAAGGCUGUGUGUGAGAGCCUGCUGCUGGGAGGGUUUACCCCUUCUCCUCUGUUUCUGAGCCCUGGGGAGUGGCAUGGACUGUUCUCUGCUCAUCCUGCAGAGACCUGGGAUGCUCUGGGCUACUCAUUUGCUCCCUGUGACCAGCACUACACUUACACAUGUUCAAAGUAGGUAAGAGUUCGGAUUCUCCCUCUCUCAGGAGGUUCCUGACUCCGCAGUGGAUCUUCAGAGGUAGGAGCACUGCAGAAGUCCUGAGUAUCCUGGAGCUCCCAUAUAGCACAGGAAAAACCUAUUAUGGGAAAGCUGCUAAUAGCAGAGGUAAGCU
rnacentral:lncRNA from 1 species